CCCCAUAUUUCUGGGUCAGAAUUUAUAUUAAAUGUAAAUAUUUGUACGUUGAGUAGUUUUCCUUGAAAAGGGCCUUUGCAGGCUUCUGGAUUAUUCAAAAUUUGUUUCAGAUUAAAACCAAAAGUUGCGGAAUGUGACAUUUAAAGUGUUUAAGCAGAUGACAAAGAAAUAUAAAACAAAGAUAAAGCUGGUCCGAACCAUGAUCUGCAGAGCCCCUGAGUCCCCUCCCCUAACAGAGGGACCCCUAUCAUGACACUCCCAGAGCCUCAGUCCCUGUCCUUCAGUGUCACAGAAGUGUCCCUGGAGGCACGAGUGGUCACAAAGAAAAAUGGACAUGGAAGGGCCUCCUACUCCCUAAAUCUCUCAAAUGCAUGGACACACAGACCUCUUGAAAAUGCAUAUGUAGCUCUACUGAAGAUUUUCCUUAAGCUUUGAACCUGAGCUACUUUGCUUAGUCACUACAAUGCAAAAUAACAUUCCAAUGCAAACUGCACCCACUCCAAACUCUCUUAUACUAUGGAAAUUCAGUAAAUCACCAACUGAAGGGGAGUUCUGCAAGCACUAUCUUCCCUAUUCCUUUAUUUGGUGCUCAAAAUCCAGCAGGGUCCAAGGACAUGGAACUAGCCUCCUCCCUUGCAUAAAUUCCAGGACUGUUGAUUCUAUAGGACUCCUCAAAGAAGGUUACCUCGCCCAGCUGGGAGUGGAGCACAGCCCUUCUCAUUUCCAGGGCAUUUAUGCCAAGUGUGAAUCUCCGGGAGGUGUCUAAAUUCUCUUCCAGCUAAAGUCUAUCUACUUGGACAGUCAGCACGACUGUGCCAUGGCAUUUCUGUGCCAUGAAAGGAGAGUCUUCCUCCCAUGGCCUUACUCUCUGGCUUUCCUUCUCCAGCCCCUACUGUGCCAGGACCUAAGAAGCAAAAGGAGAGAGGAGCGUGCAAGGAAAAGAAUGCAAGGAAACAAUGACGAAUGGCAUCCCCCCAAAUAUUUCUGACCAGUAAUGACAGGGUUGCUAGAUGGGAAGCAGGAUCACUGCAACCACAGCCUUCUUACUGCCUUAGAGGUUAUAAUCAAACUCUAAACGUGAAGUGUUUUGCUAGAGAACAGGCCUGUGGCCCUCCAUUAAAGAGAAGGACCCCAGAGAAAACAGCCUAGCAAAGAAACUCCUACAGAAGGAAGCUGCUUUGGAAUCUGGUCACAUUGUGAAUUUGCAAAUCAUCAUUAUCUUCUCCUCCACCCUGUUAGGAGGACUUGCCUAACCUCCAGAUGAUCAUGCAGCCUUCUAUCAGCUUCAGAGAAAGGGAGUGCAGAGCACUGUAAUUGGAGGAGAUUAAUCAUUCACUACACCAGAGGUAGGCCUCUCCUUACCUGCACACUCCAACUUCACAUGGCAGCCAAGGCCAACUACCAGCCAGGUCUGAGCAAGGGAAGCAACUGGAGAGAUGGAGGGAGACCAAAAAGAGAGAAACCUGGACUGCUCUCAAGCCAAGGACAGACUGCCAGCAGGACGUGGGGGAGUGGAGCAAUCCACAAAGUCGAAUGAGCAGUGAGCUAGGAACUCUUAGAGCUGGAAAUAACAGAUUCAGGAGUUGUCAAUAAACACUUAUUUGA